rnacentral:ribozyme from 13 species
GAGAAAGAAGCAAGCUCAAUCAAAAAGAGAAUGAGAAAGAAGAGGAAAUGAGUUGAUGACAUUUUUUUCUUUCUUUUCUCUUUCUUGUCUCUCUUUUCUUUCUCUCUUUUCUUUUCUUUCUC